CUCUGCUGGUGUUUUGUGGGUGAGCCCAGGAUAGGAGGUGCUGUGAACCACACUUUGACUGACGCCCAUGACCUCUGUGGAACUCUGGAAGUGUUUCCACCAUGUGUUCCCAGUGUGCCCUGGAAUCAGCUCUGAGUACAGGACAGCUUGCUGAGGUUCUUCAUCCUCUCCCCUUGGACAAAGGUGUAGUAAUAGAGGUAGACUGGCUGGAGCCUGCUAACCCAGUGUGUGGUUUGGUGGAGGGGAGCUGUGGGGCACAUAUUCAAAGGACUUCAGUGGCCUCAGGAUGCUAAUGGGAACUCACCUUCUGGAAAUGCUGCUAAGUAGAUCUCUGUUCUGGCCUGCUUUUAACUGAUUUUGUGUUCUCAGAUAACCUGGUGUUCACUCAGAAUUGUGUUACUGAUCCUGAGAAUAGGCUCUAGCUGUCUUGACAGCCUCUGAAUACAAUAUUAAAAUACCAAGCCUUUAAAUACUAAGGCAAAUGAAAUCUUGGUAGUGUCUUGACCUAUGGUAGGUAGGAAAGGCACUCUGGGAAUUUCCCAACAAUCUGAUGAGAUAAAUGUAGGUCGGUCUUUGUAAAACUGAAAUGAGCAGGAGGAAAAUCAUAUCCUGUCGUAUCAAGGGAUGUGCACCUGGCAGGUUAGUAUGAGCAUAUAGCCUGAAACACCAUACACAUUGGUGAUAUGUCGUCAAAGUGUGACAGAAGCAGUACAGGUCUAAUAGAGCAUGAAGUAUAUUUGAUGCUAUUACUGUUUAUAGAGAGAGAAGAAUGAAAUUUAAGAACAUUACAAAAUAAAGAAGUGUGAGAGAACAGUCAAAUCAAAAUUAUCUCUUCAUUCAGAGCUGGAAUGAUAAAAAAAUAUUUACAAUAUAUCUGGUCAAUAAAACAGGGGAUUAUGUAUUUCUCAAUACAAUAAUUUCAGCUAUAUUAGAUAAACAGCACUCACGUUACAGCUGAUUCACAGAUGCUUGACAAAAGUAAAAUCAUCUGGUCAAUUCAUUUAGGUGAAAAAUCUUAAUAGCAGUAGAAAAUCCAGAGGCAAUUAUGAGGCUGACAAGGAAUGAAAACAUUUCUAGUGUUAAAAAAAAUAUCCAAAGGCAGGUUGUUUUUUGUGUGUAUGUUUAUCCUUAAUUACUCUUUCCCUGGGCAAGCUGAAUGUUGCAAAACCUAGUGUUUGAGAGUAAAAUUGAGUAUUUAUGCACACAAAAAUGACUUCAUUCUUUAUUAUUUUGAAGUUGAGAUAAAAGCAAUGAAUUAACAAAGGGCAAAGUAAAUGGAUAUAUAAAAUGCUUGAGUUCUUACAGAAAUUGGUGAUAUUGAUUACAAAGACAAAGACUCUUUAAAGAGAUAUAAUUUGAAGGUGACAGUUUCUGUGGAAGUAAAAAACAGGUGCGAGAUGAAAACUGCCUAGGAAUCAAUGUUCUAUAACACUAAUGUUAUGAAUUAAAUGGAAUUUUGAGGAUUAAAAUAAAAAUCUGAAGUAAAGGGGAGGUAGGGUUGUUUUCUGUGGAUCUCAAAUCCAUUUUUCUGAUUUUGCUUUUGCAAUGAAAGUACUGCUUUCAAGGAUUUAGCAGAAUAUUAAGAGGUAGCUAGGAUUCCAGAUAGGAAGGAUUUUCUUUUCCAAGAUCUGUUAUAUAUUUCAAGUAAUUCCAGGAAACCUUAUUUGUCGUUUAUGGAUAAUAGUCAAUAAUGUAAUGACUAUGUAAUGUAAUGAUUAA